rnacentral:rRNA from 1 species
CCUACGGGAGGCAGCAGUGGGGAAUAUUGCACAAUGGGGGAAACCCUGAUGCAGCGACGCCGCGUGAGUGAAGAAGUAUUUCGGUAUGUAAAGCUCUAUCAGCAGGGAAGAAAAUGACGGUACCUGACUAAGAAGCCCCGGCUAACGACGUGCCAGCAGCCGCGGUAAUACGUAGGGGGCAAGCGUUAUCCGGAUUUACUGGGUGUAAAGGGAGCGUAGACGGCCAGACAAGUCAGAAGUGAAAACCCGCGGCUCAACUGCUGGAGUGCUUUUGAAACUGUUUGGCUGGAGUGCAGGAGAGGUAAGUGGAAUUCCUGGUGUAGCGGUGAAAUGCGUAGAUAUUAGGAGGAACACCAGUGGCGAAGGCAGCUUACUAAACUGCCACUGACAUUGAUGCUCGAAAGUGUGGGUAUCAAACAGGAUUAGAUACCCGAGUAGUC